AGAAUAGUGUGAGUUGAAUCCUAAUUCAGAAUUUCAGUUUGGGUAUGAUGAUUGUUUAUUAUUUAGAGGAAGAAUUGUGUACCGAAGAAUUCAGAACAUGGGCUCGUGUCUUGGCCGUGUGAAACCUGCACCUAAUUUGUGAAAAUUAAAUUGACCACACGGCCUAGCACACGGGCAUGUGGCAGGCCGUGUGGCGCAAGUUAGAAAGUUACACGGGUAAGGACAUGGGCUGGAACACGGCCGUGUACCUCACAUCGAAAGCCCA
rnacentral:lncRNA from 1 species